GUGAUCUUUCCUAAGCAAAUUUAUUUUUAAAAAAAUUAAUAUCGGGUUGGUAGCCCAUUUUAUUAAAAUCCAAAACCAAGUUUUUAUGGGUCGGGCCCAAAAGUGACCCGGUCCACUAGAUAAAAGGCAACAAAAAAGAUAACAAAAGGAAAAUAAAAUAAAAAAUCUAGGUCAAACAAAAUUGGAAAGUAGCAGUUACGAAGCUUCUAGAGUUGCUUCAUCUUCCUUAAUCGAGCUUUCCUUUCCUAAUCAGCUUGAUGUAGCUAAUGUUAAGAAGGUCAAAAUCCGCUUGUGAGUUACAUAGUAGAUCCUAUCUCCCAUCUUCCAAAUCUUCUUAUAGCUAGAAACCUACACUUCGAUUAAUAUAAUUGUAGGAGCUUGUUGUACUUCUGAAAACUUAGAACUGGACAUCCUUACCUUCCUAUUCGAUUUUGACGUAUGCUUCAUAAACUUCUGAUUUAUGAAUUAGGCCUAUCUAACUAAAUUGAACAUAGUUACUUAAGUAAACUUUGGAUCGGUUACACUUCAUCUCACCUAAAUAUCUCACUAGGUGUUGUGUAAUCGAUUCCACCGAAGUGUUACUCCAAGUACUUAAAGAUAUGUCAAAUUAAAUUAGAUAAAUCCCCAAUUUUCUCUAGAAAAGGAAUGAACCUCAGUAGAGAUUAAUACCAUAUUACAUAAGUUUAAGCAAAGACUUCAAGACCUAGUAAUAUUCGAUUGCACUAUAGUCCUGUGUAUGUUAAACCUGAGUUUUUGUUUGAACUUUGUCGUUUAGUUGAGCUCCCCUGUCUACUUACUUUACUUUACUUUAUUGUUCUUGGGAAUUUUAAGUGAUACUUGAAAAUGCCUGACCUAAUCUGAUGCUUGCUGAUUCAUUUUCCUAAUUCUAAGAUGUGGGAAUCUGUUGCUUGGCUUGUAGUGUGAUUGCUUUGGCCCUCAUUGAUAACUCCAUGAAUGUAUUAAAACUUAUUGUACUUGCACAGCUAAAACACCAACUAGCUAAAAAUUCUGCUAGUGAAUUUCCUUCUCUGUAGGUGUGUUGUACUUUGAUCAAUUCCAACUCCAUUAUUUUUUGUAUUCUUCUUAUAAUUCCUCUUAUGUUCCAAGGGAUCUCCCAUUCCCCUUUCAUCAUUUUGACUAAUGAAAAUGAGUCAGUCUCAAGUUCUAGAGGCACCAUAUGGUGCUCAACAAAACAUAGUAGUUGCACUCUUCUUUCAUCGCUAGUGCUUCUACAUAAAUACUAGUAUUUUCCUGUAGUUUCCUGCAUGAUGCAUAAACCAAAUCACCCUCAUCAUUUCCAAUAUAGAAUGCAACUUGAACCUAGAUUUCCUUUUGAGGUGCCAUUAGAAUUGCACUUAUACCAUCCUUGAUCAGGGUUUUUUCUAUGUAACUGUUUGUACUCUUUGCCUGUACUUCUGCAAAUAUUCAACCAACAAAGGCUAUUUAUUAGGUAUUUCCUUUAGCCAUGGAUACCUAACUAGGGUAAAAAAAUGUAAAUUGUCACCAAUCUCAUAAAUAACCCUAUACAUUGACAUGGAACCUCAAUGAUUUAUUAUGUUUCUCCUGUUCCAUAACUGCCAACAUAUUAAACUUGGAAUUGCCUGAGCAACAGGUUUAAUCCUAUAGCAAAUUUAGUGUUCCACCAUUUUAAGAAUGUCCAGUGACAUUGUAUAAAAGGUCCUUCAACUCCUACACUCAGAGCAUAGUAAUUCCAGACCUAGAAGCAAAGUUGAUAGAAAUAAAGAAAUGAUGUACUGUUUCCAAAUGUGGAGUGGCACAACAUCUGCAUCUAGAAACUAAAUUAACACCACAUCUUUACAGUAUAUCUUCUACAGUAAUCUUAAACUUCCACAACCUCCAUAAAAAGAAAUUAAUCUUCAAAGGUACCCCUUUACACCAUAUAUAUAUACACACACUUCCACUGAACCUCAACUUUUUCCUGUGUCUAACUAAAUGAUAAGCACUAGACACUGUGAACUUCCCAUUUGAUGUUGGCAUCCCCCAAUGAAGGUCCCACGGUGAUGCAUUCUGACUGAUAGCGAUAUUAUGUACAUGGUGUUGAAUGAUGUCACUAGGAAGCACUGACUGCAUUGACUAUAUUUUCUAAUUAUCCCAUUUACCACAUGUAAUCAGCUUGUCAAUGUCACCUUCUUCUUCAUUGAUAGGGAAUCAGGGUCUACCACAUAAUACAGAGCUCCCAACUUAGACAUAUUUUCAAACCAAAUAUUAGAAGAGCCUACAUUUGGCUCCCACUAGAUUUCUUGGUCUAUGUUAUCCUUUGUCUCUAGAAUUUUCUUCCACACUUUUAGGACCAUUCUUCCAUUGAACUACUGUUGAAAUAAGUUUCUUACCGUACUUAUUCCAUAUAUAGUUACUCCACAAAUACCUAGUAGUUCUAAGGAUCCACCAUAACUUUGCAAACAUAGCAUUAGAUAUGACAAAGAGGUCCUUGAAUCCCACACCUCUCUCUUCUUUUGGGAAAUAUAUCUUCUCCCAUAAUAGCCAGUGCUUACUCUUUCCUUCCCCUUAAUACUCCAUAGAAACCUAUUGAAAAUCUUAUGCAGUUCAUAUAUAAUGCAUUUUGGAGGUACCACAGGUGAUAAUAAAUACAAAGACAUACUUUGUAGUACACUGGUAAUUAAAACAACUUUUCCCUUAAAAGAAAUUUAUUUUCUUUUCUAUUUUUGCAGCCUGUUUUUCACCUUCUUGAUGAGAACAUUAUAGUAUUCUUCUUUUUUCCUUGCAUGGGUAACAGGACACACCAAAUACUGAAAAGGUUUCCCUGGUUAAAACCUAUUAUACCUUUCACUUCAUUCAUCAAAGAGACUGCAACUUUCUUAUACAUGUGAAAAAAACUUUUACUCUCAUUAAUUAGCUACCCAGAAAUGUCAUGAUAUCCCAUUAAAUCAUUCAUAACCAAAUGCAACAAAGUUUUAUGUAUAGAAGUAAGGAUUAUUGUAUCAUCUGUAUAUACAAGAUGAUCUAGGUUCCUACUAUAUUUAGGCAACCCAUAACCUUUAUACAUUCCAUCUUCAAACAAAGCAUUAAGAGACCUUGACAAUACUUCAGUGGUUAGAAUAAAUAAGGUAGGUGAUAGGGGAUCAUCUUGUUUUAACCUUCUUGUUGAAUGAAAAAAACCUUGUGACUGCCCAUUAAUGAUGAUUGAAUACCAGUUGUUCGCCACCAACCUCUAAAUUAUAUCUAUGAAUAUUUCUGCUUAUCAUCGUAAACAAGUACAACCAAGAAACCCUAGCAUAAGCCUUAGACAUAGCCAAUUUCAAUACCACAUUAGCAGGUUUUCCUCUUAACCUAUGUGUGAUAUAAUUUCCUAUGUCAACCAAAAUUUCUCAAUAAUCCUCCUUCCUCUAACAAAUCCUGACUGACUAAUCUCAGUCUAUCAUGAAUAACCCUUGAAAUUACCUUGUUAAUGAAAUUGCUCAGGCUGAUAGGUCUAAAGAUCUGGGAAAGUGUCUCUCAUCUCCUUUUUAGGAAUUAAACUAGAUUAGUGCGAGACUUUUAGGAAAAAUAUUACCUUCAAAAAAACUUCUUACUAAUUGAAGAACAUCUUCUCCCAAAAUAUCCUAACAUGCUGAUACAACAACCUACAGAAACCAUCAAAACCACAAGAGCUGCUAUUUAGAGAAAAUACUACAAGUCUCAUUUUUUCUAAAGUAGGCUCUGCCACCAAUCUCUUAUUAUCUUCUUUACUCACCAUUGCUAGAAUAUGAUUCAACAGUUUAAAGUUUAUACCUUCUUUCUUUUGUGUAAACUGAUCCUGGAAAUAUCUGACGGCUUUCUCACCGAUCAAUCUGCUAUCUUUCAGCCAAACACCAUCAUUAUUCUAUAUCCUACUAAGUUGUUAUCUUUUUUCUUCUCCCCUUUACAAGACUAUGAAAGAAUCCUAUGUUUCUGUCACCAUCUCAAAUCAAGUUAUCCCUGUUUUUUGUCUCCUAAAGUGCUCCUCCAGGUGAAGGAAGGUACCUUUUCACUUGAGCCUACUGUAAUACACUUUUAUUCUCUUAAGAAGGGUGUUGUUCAAAUAACUUCUCUUUAAUUUGCAUUAUUUAUCGUAUAAUGGCAUGCUACUGAAAAAUAUCACCAUACCUAUCUCAACUUCAUUUACUCAACUUUUUCCACAUUUUUCAUCUUAUGAUGGAACACCCAAAAACUGUUACCUAGUUCCUCUGACCUUCAAUGUUGCCUUACCACAUCUUUGAAAGAGGAGCCUUCUACCCAAAAGUCAAGGAACUUAAAAGUUUUAACAGCUUGGUGUGAUAUUGUAUACAUUGUAAGAAACAGAGGAGCAUGAUCUGACCCAGUUCUAGGCAAGUAUUCCACCUCCAAUCUAGUAAACUAAUUCUACAAGCUACAUUAGAGAAAAUUCUGUCUAAUCUUUCAAAUAAACAAUCACUUUUUGAUCUACCACUCCACUAUGUAUAUGGUGUCCCUUUGAAUGAUAUUUCAUCAAGCUCACAUGAAUUCACACAAAGGUAAAAACCCUCCAUCUCUUGUAGUGUGACUGGAAGGCGACCUAUUUUUUAUUCUUCAUUCAACAAAUAAUUAAAACUACCCUCCUACUAACCAUGGAAGAUUAAUAUUAGCCAGAUUGUAUAUGGUAUUCCAUAGUGGAAUUCUUUUGUCUUCUUUACACUUAGCAUAUACCAUAGAAAUUAGCAUGUGCUUUAGAUCCUGUGGUAUCAUUAUUUUAAUAGAAAUUUGCUGAUCAGAGUCGCUGAUUAUUUUCAUAUCAACAUUAUCUCUCAAAAAGAACCAAACUUUUCCUGAAAUAUUUAUUGCAACACUCUGCAUAUUUAACUUUCUCAUAAAUCUCUGAAUCUGGCCAGCUUGUUGGAAAGGCUCCAUAAGAACUAUUAGGAAAAAUUUAUGAUGACUAUUAAGUAUUUGGAGUCUAGUAAAUGCAUGUUGAGUAUUAACAGGCGUAAAGUUCCAAAAAAUUGAUUUCAUCAUCAUUGACUAACUUUAUUUGUCCCAACAUUUCUCUUUGGUACCAUUCUUUUAGGUAAUUGUUCAGUGGGUUGCUUUUUCCCUUUUUGAUGCUACUCUUUAUUUCUUUUUGUGAAUGAACUCUAUGUCUAUUAAUAGCUUCAACUUUCUUGUCUUCACCUUUUUCAUCUCUAGUAACAUCAAAAUAGCAAAGAUCAGGUCUGAUAAUGGGACGGAGUUUGAAAAUCCAAGAGUUGAGGAAUUUUGUGCUGAAAAUAAAAUCAGUCAGAAUUUUUUAGAUCCAAGAAACCCUCAACAAAAUAGGGUGGUUGAAAGGAAGAACAGAAUCCUGAUUGAUAUUGCUUGAACCAUGCUAAUUGAUGGUAGUCUUCCUAAAAACUUCUGGGAUGUCUCAUCAGGUCCAUCCUAAACAAGACACCCUAUGAAUUGUUGUUUAACAAAAGGCCCAAACUUAGCUACUUCAGGCCUUUUGGAUGCAAGUGUUUUGUGUUAAAUAAUGCUAAGAAUGAACUGGGAAAUUUGAAUUCAAAAGUGAUGAAAGAGUAUUUGUGAGCUAUUUACCAACCAGCAAAGCCUACAGGAUCUACAACAAAACAAUACCGUGUUGAAGAAAGUGUUCAUAUCAUUUUUAAUGAGUCAAGAAACAUAAACAAACAUGGAAAUAUUGAUGAUAUAGAUAUGGAGGAACUUAUCCCCAUCAAAAUAAAUAGUCUAAUUGAAGAAAACACUAAAGUAUAAGAUGCUGAAGAUAAAGUGAUGGUGAAGAAGGAGGAGAAGAGAACCAGGUUCUUAACCGCAACCUGCAGUCAUCUGAAUAGUUGGAUCACAAUAAGUAUGUCAAGACCAAGCCUUUGAGAGACCUUGUGCUGGUAAGCCUUAAUCAUAAGAAGAUCUAACUAGAAGCAUAAGUCAUCUCAUCCACUUGAGAAUUUGACUUCUUCUUUAGACUAAGGCACAAGCUUAGAAGUCAUGAGGCACAAGCUUAGAACUUCAUGACUUUAAAAGAAGCAAAGUAUGACACCUAGUCCCCAUCCCUGCUGACGGAGGACAAAAUAGGUGCACAAAAACAAUCACGAUGAGUAUGACACUAACAUAAAAAACAAGGAAAGACUUGUGGUACAAUAAUACUAUCAGGAAGAAGAGAUUGACUAUGAUGAGACCUUUGCACCUGUUGUAAGGAUGGAGGCAAUAAGAAUUCUCAUAUUGUCUUUGUUGAAGUGUUCUAAAUGAAUGUGAAGAAUGCAUUUCUAAAUGGCUAUUUGAAGGAAAAAGUAUACAUUAAACAACUACCCGGAUUUAAAGACAUUGAUCAACCACCAAAUCAUGUCCUGAAGUUGGAUAAAACUCUUUAUGGACUGAAAUAGGCCGCUACAGCAUGGUAUGAAAGACUGUCAAAAUUUCUUCUUAAGAAUGGCUCCAAAAUAGUAAAAAUUAACCCUACUCUAUUUCUAAAAUCUAGAGGAAGAAGCCUACUGAUUGUGCAAGUUAAUAUUGAUGAUAUCAUUUUUAGUGCAACUUUAGACUUACUAUGUGAAGAAUUAGUAAAAUUCAUGGAAAGUAAAUUUAAAUUGAGCAUGAUAGGUGAACUAAGAAUCUUCCUUGGCUACAAAUCAAGAAAACACCACAUUAUACCAUGAUCCAUCAAGAGAAAUAUAUUAAGGUGUUGCUAAAGAAAUUCCACAUGAAUGAUGUCAAGCCUAUUGAUACUCCUAUAGGGAUAAGGUCAAAAAUAGAUGUUGACGAACUUGGUCCCUCAGUAAAUAAAACUAUGUAUAGAGGAAUCAUUGGAUCCCUACUAUAUUUGACUGGUAGUAGACCUAACAUAGUAUUCACUGUAGGGAUGUGUGCCAGGUUCCAAGCCAUCCAAAAGAGUCUCACUUGAAAGCUGCUAAGCAGAUUCUCAGAUAUUUUAAAGGAAUAGGGGACCUAGUCCUGUUCCAUGCUUCUGGUGACAACUUUCAUCUAACUGGGUAUGUUGAUGUUGACUAUGAAGGGUACCUUGUUGAUAGGUAUACAUGCAUGGUGAGUAAUCUGAUAAGGAGAAGUGAUGAAAUAGACAUUAAGAAGAAAUUCCUUUCAAAUGAGGGAGGGACCAGGUCCCUAUUCAAAGGUUAGCAUCAUAUGUGCCUUUUUUUAAUCUGUCCAAAGUUAUUGUUCACAAUUGUCAUGUGUCUUUUCCCGACUCUCUAUACAAUUGUCAAAUCAUUUAAAAUUGAAACUAUGUGUCUAAUAGUGACCAGGCACGUCGCUAAGCUUUAAGUUCAAACGUUACCCCCUUUCACUCCCUUUAAAACAUGAAUUGAAACCCUUUUCAAUUCCAUUCUUACAUUCUCUUCUAUUCUCUCUCCUAGAAACUCUCCUCAGGACACCAAAAAUCGACGUAAUUUUUUCUCCCUCAAACACAAAAAUAUCUUAAAUUACUUCCUCUUCCAACACUUUUCAACGUGAUGAAUUUCAAUACUCUCCAGUACCUACACCGCUUGAACCUGCUUCGCUUGAAGAAAACCCCUUCUUUAAAGAAAAACCUAUACCCAUGGCAGAAAAAGAAACCCCCAUUGAAGCAUUUCCUAUAAGUUCUGAAAUAUAUCCUGAAACUACUUUUUUCGCAGUUAGAGAUCCUUCUAGUAUGAAUUUUGGGUUACCAAUCAAGUCUAAAUUUUUUCUCUCUCUUACUAAGACACUAAUCAAAGAGAAAACUAAUGAACCUUCUCGAAGACCCGGUUCCCUACACUCUCUGAGUCAAAACUCAUUGAUGAACUACUAUUUGAGAGGGAUCUCCCAAUUGAGAAAUUCAAGCCCUCAGGUAGUGUUAUGGAAGGAGAGGAUUGGGCGGCAAAGAGUUUGACAUUAUUGGUUAGAUACCAAAGGGAACUCCAAAGAAAUGUUGAAGAACCCUCCUCAUAUGAGUCUUCUAUCUGCUUACCUCUUUCAACCUAUGAUGGAACCCUGUCACAUAAGUGCAUGAAUUCUUCAUUUUCAAGGUCGCACCCGUGUCGAAUUCUUCAAAGAUACACUAUUUUUGUUGAAUCUAACAUGAAUUCAUUGACAUUUUUGAAGAGUCCAAACAACGUAUUUUGUCACCGCUCAAACUCAGAAAGAGACUUUAUUGCCUCCAGUGCAAGAUAAAAUUGAGGAGGAUGAUAGUGGUGAUUUGAAAUAAAAAUACAAUAUGGGUCCAAAGGAAAAGAGAAGUUUGAUGAUAUUGGAAAGAUGGUGAAGAUUUAUAGAAUUGGAGUACUGGAAGAAGUUGUAAGGUGAUGCCAUGAAGGUAAGUAAGUCUGUUACAACCAGAAGAAGAAAGAUAAGAAAGCCACAGUAGUUGAGAGUAAAGAAAAUCUGACUAUGGAAGUGGUUGAUGUGGAAGAACAUGAGGAAGAAAAUGAUAUUGACUUAGAUGUUGUUGCUACAAUAACUAAAAUAGGAAAGAAGUCGAUGCUCCAGACAGACUAGGUCCUUCGAGAUAAAACCCAAAGCCUCUGCUCUUAAGAAACAUAUUUCAGUAAAAAGAAGGCUCUUGAGAGACCUAAUCCUGCACAAGAAAGUUAAUUUGUAUGAGGACCGGGUAGCUCCUCAAAAAGGAUAAAGGUUGAAAAGAAAGUGAAGAUGAUGUCUAGGGAGGAGAGGAUUGAGAUUCUAAAAACACAGAAAGUGAUGAAAAAAAGGUUAUUUGAUCCCAACAUUAUUGAUAAACCUGGAAUGGUUGAGCUUGUGGAGUAUAUUAAAUGCAACAAUAACUUCUUUUGUUCACUGUGCCAGUUCCUACAGUUUAUUAGAGAGAAGCAAGAGACUUCCACACUUCAAAAUUUUCAGAGGAUGGUCAGCGUGUGUCAGCUGUUGUUCAAGUGUUGAAAUACACCUUGAUAAGAAUAUUCGUGGUGAAAUUUUGGAUGUCCGGUAGAAGGAAUCAAAUCUAUCAAAACAAGGAGCCCUCUUUUGAAUUCGUCAAGAAAGUGUGCAAGUUAACUGGAAAAUCCAAGGCUGGGGUAUUGAAAAAAUAUCUUAAAAAAGAGCUCCAAAUAUUGUUUGAGUUUGUGUACAAGGUUCUGAUACCCAAAUUUGAGAAGAGGACUAUGUCCUCUGCAACAGACCUAUUCCUAAUGGAAACUCUGAGCAAAUUUGGAAUUAUGAAUCUCCCAAAAGUGAUGAUUAAGCAUAUACAUACAGUGAUGCAUAUUAAGGAUGGCAAACAUGGGAUGGCAUAUGAAUUUCUUCUUAACUACGCGUUGGAGAAUUUUAAGAUCCAGUGCCCAAAUGGGGUGAUGGGGAUUGUGAAGCAAACAUUUUCCAUGACAACCUUAACUGAAAAUGAGUGUUGAAGGUAAGGUUAGAACCAAUCCUAAAUCCCAAGUUUCUAAGUUGAUUGAGGAUAAAGUAAAAUUGGUGGCUCAAUUGGAAGACAUGAUGUUUGCGUUGGCCAAGCGUGAUGCUGAAAUCUCCCAGUUAAAUGCAACGCAAUGUUACAGAAAGUUGGAAUCAAGGGACCAGGUACCAUGGAUAAUCUCUAAGAUGGAAUCACGAACUUAUGUUUAAAUGUUGAAGUAAAGGGCCCGACUAGGAACUUUUAAAUGCACACACAACUAAGAGUGUGCGCAUGGAAAUGGUCCUUCGAUCCCUUUCCCCUAAGCCCCCUCCAUAAUAAGCCCCUCAUAUUGUAAUGUUCUUAAGUCUUAAUAAUGUCAGUUUUCCUUCUUGUUCAUGUGGCUAUUUUUGAUCAGUGCUUUAUGUAGUUUUUAAAGAUGGUUAUGUAUGCUACUUUUCCUGCUUUAAUAUUAAUGGAACUCUUCUUUUGUCUA